rnacentral:rRNA from 1 species
GUUUGAUCCUGGCUCAGGACGAACGCUGGCGGCGUGCUUAACACAUGCAAGUCGAGCGAUGAAACACCUUCGGGUGUGAAUUAGCGGCGAACGGGUGAGGAACACGUGAGAAAUCUGCCUUCAACACUGGGAUAACUCCGGGAAACCGGGGCUAAUACCGGAUAUGAAAUCUGCGGGCAUCCGCGGAUUUGGAAAGUUUUUCGGUUGAAGAUGAUCUCGCGGCCUAUCAGCUUGUUGGUGAGGUAAUGGCUCACCAAGGCGACGACGGGUAGCCGGCCUGAGAGGGCGACCGGCCACACUGGGACUGAGACACGGCCCAGACUCCUACGGGAGGCAGCAGUGGGGAAUAUUGGGCAAUGGAGGAAACUCUGACCCAGCGACGCCGCGUGCGGGAUGAAGGCCUUCGGGUUGUAAACCGCUUUCAGCAGGGAAGAAGCGAAAGUGACGGUACCUGCAGAAGAAGCACCGGCUAACUAUGUGCCAGCAGCCGCGGUAAUACAUAGGGUGCAAGCGUUGUCCGGAAUUAUUGGGCGUAAAGAGCUCGUAGGUGGUUCGUCACGUCGGAUGUGAAAAUCUGGGGCUUAACCCCAGACCUGCAUUCGAUACGGGCGAGCUAGAGUGUGGUAGGGGAGACUGGAAUUCCUGGUGUAGCGGUGGAAUGCGCAGAUAUCAGGAGGAACACCAAUGGCGAAGGCAGGUCUCUGGGCCAUUACUGACACUGAGGAGCGAAAGCGUGGGGAGCGAACAGGAUUAGAUACCCUGGUAGUCCACGCCGUAAACGGUGGGCACUAGUUGUGGGAACCUUCCACGGUUUCUGCGACGCAGCUAACGCAUUAAGUGCCCCGCCUGGGGAGUACGAUCGCAAGAUUAAAACUCAAAGGAAUUGACGGGGCCCCGCACAAGCAGCGGAGCAUGCGGCUUAAUUCGACGCAACGCGAAGAACCUUACCAAGGCUUGACAUAUACAGGAAUAUGGCAGAGAUGUCAUAGCCGCAAGGUCUGUAUACAGGUGGUGCAUGGUUGUCGUCAGCUCGUGUCGUGAGAU